rnacentral:rRNA from 1 species
UCGAGAAUCAUUCGCAAUGGGCGAAAGCCUGACGAUGCGACGCCGUGUGAGCGAAGAAGGCCUUCGGGUUGUAAAGCUCUUUCGCUUAGGAACAAGAGAGGUUGGCUAAUAUCCAGCUAAUUUGAGUGUACUAGGUAAAGAAGCACCGGCUAACUCCGUGCCAGCAGCUGCGGUAAUACGGAGGGUGCAAGCAUUAAUCGGAUUUAUUGGGCGUAAAGGGCGCGUAGGCGGAGAUACAAGUCAGAUGUGAAAUCCUGGGGCUCAACCUCAGAACUGCAUUUGAAACUGUAUCCCUAGAGGGUAGAAGGAGAAAACGGAAUUCCACAAGUAGCGGUGAAAUGCGUAGAUAUGUGGAAGAACACCGGUGGCGAAGGCGGUUUUCUAUUUUAUUCCUGACGCUGAGGCGCGAAAGCAAGGGGAUCAAACAGGAUUAGAUACCCUGGUAGUCCUUGCCGUAAACGAUGUAUACUUGGUGUAGCUGGACUCAACCCUAG